UGUUUUAGGCAGUCCUCUUGCGAAAUGUCUCUGAUCCCAGAUGUCUGAGGCCAGGUGUCAUUGCUGCCCUAGGCGUGUGAAGGAACAGAGUCAAGCGGGUAUCCUCCUGGCAGCCUGUUGAGUCGCAUCAAGAUUUCAGGUACCGUGAGGAGGCGCAUAGCUGAAGUUUGGAAACGGCG